AAACAUGUAAGCAAUUA
rnacentral:miRNA from 1 species